GUGUGUGUGUGUUCAUCUCUCGGGGUCAAGGCCACGCGACGGCCCAGACGAUGACGUCACCGUCUGCCCAACACACGAGUAAUCGCAACAGGUGGUGCAGACGGUGGCGGCGGAACAGUCGCGGUCGCAGUCGUCGUCUAUGGUCGCCAUCGUCUCCGGUCGCCCCGUAUAGGAGUGCCCCGACGCACGCACACACGCACACACACACACACACAUACACCCACAUACACGAGCGCCGUCGACCCAAGUCCCGCGAGGAAACGCGUGCCGCUACGGUCUACCACGUGCGCCUUUUUUUUUUUUUUUUUUUUUUUCAGUUAUUUCCGUUAUUUUUAUUUCCACUCGCUAUAUUAUUAUUAUGAUUAUGGUAAACAAUCCGUCAUCCGACCGGAAAUCUGUUCGACCGUGAUGCAAACACUACACGUCCGUCGUAGAAUAUAUCGCGGCUAUAACGACGACUGCACACUUUUAUAUAGCCGGCGGCAUGAAACCUGCACCGCGAGUGCUGCAGUACGGAGCUUGUCGCCGCUAAAAGUGCAUUUGUGACAUAAUGACUGUUCUCGUGAACGCGUCACCGACAGGUACACGCGGGUAUACUACGUUCGUGGACACGAGUUGCAGGUAUUGCACCGGAAUAGUCUAAAGAGAGGUCCUUCAGCACGACUGUUUGUUCAUUGAUAUGACAAUAAAAUCGUUACAUGCAGAUUAUUGUAGACUAUAUCAUUUAAUUACAUCAAAACCGUCAAGGGGAUAUGUGAUUUUAAAUGUUUUAUUAUAAGAAAUCAUUAUAAUGAGAACGCAUUUAAGAGCCUUGCAGUUGAAGCAGCAUAAACGGCAUAAGCAAUAACCUAACCAAUAUUCAACGCAUUGAACAUAUACGCGACUAUCGACAAUCCAGAUCCUAUGAUGGUUUUAAGGUACCCACUCGAUAGUUCUUGAUCCGAUGCAGCUGUUAAAAGCGAACCGGUCCAUAAAAUGUAUACGCAGAUUACGACGGAGUGUGAUGUGUCCUCACACAUACAUCAUAUUCGUUUCGAGGAGAUAUUACUGCUCUGGGUAUAGGUAAUAUCCAUUUUCGAUAAAUUAUUCUUUCAACGUCUUCAGAUCGUUUGAAAUUGAAAUAGGUUAAGCACAUAAAAAAAAAAAAUGUGACUGAAAAAGAGAUCCUGAGUGCAAUAUCAUCGUUGUCGUCGUGUCUCGUUUGGUGUUUCUGCCUUUUUGCAGGAACCUAAAUGGAUAGACGCCAAAAAUCUUUGUGGUGGCACUCUACUGCAAUGUAAAAUUUGUCCAAAUCGCCUGUACACGGAAUAAACCUGUCGUUGCCGAUUCUCGACAGACUUUUUGGGACAAACAUUACCUCGAGAAAUCAAGGGGACCUGUUGCUAUAUAAACUUAUCGUAUACGUAUAUUGUAUAUUAUUAUAAUACAAUAUUAUAUAACGACAAUAACGAUGAGGAUGACAAUACCGCGUGUACGCUCUGAAGAGGAAAGCUGCGGCGGAUAUAAAUCGAGAUCGUCACAAUAAUGCUCUGCUGGUAAGUCCGCUCGGCUCACGGUGUAAAAUCUAUGUGUAAUAAUAUUAUAUUAUGUAUUAUACCUAUGAUUAUAUUAUAUAUACACACACACGAUGGCGAAUUAUUAUAAUGGGUUCGGUGUAAUAAUGUGGCGCAUUCCCACGGAAUCCACGGUGCCCAGUAAGUCAUUGACGGACAGGUUCGAUUCCCGACGACGCGCGAUCAAUGGGUUUUUGAGUGGAAUGGGUUCGAGUGCUCAGGACAUUCCGUUUUUUUUCUUUUUUUUUUUUUUAAUGCGCCCGUUACUGCACACACUCGCAUAAUAAUAAUAAUAAUAAUAAUAAUAUAAUAAAAUAUAACGUAUAUAUCCGUCUUGUUUUAAAUGUUUGCGUUUCUCCGUCUCUUGUACAUGCAUAUAUACGUAUACAAAACCUCUUGAACCGACACGAUUUACUAGUGGAGCGUGGAGA